rnacentral:rRNA from 1 species
UGCAAUCUACCUUUUACAGAGGGAUAGCCCAGAGAAAUUUGGAUUAAUACCUCAUAGUAUGCAGAGUUGGCAUCAGCCCUGCAUUAAAGUCACAACGGUAAAAGAUGAGCAUGCGUCCCAUUAGCUAGUUGGUAAGGUAACGGCUUACCAAGGCAACGAUGGGUAGGGGUCCUGAGAGGGAGAUCC